rnacentral:rRNA from 1 species
UACGUAGGGUGCGAGCGUUGUCCGGAAUUAUUGGGCGUAAAGAGCUCGUAGGCGGUUUGUCGCGUCGACUGUGAAAACCUACAGCUUAACUGUGGGCUUGCAGUCGAUACGGGCAGACUUGAGUUCGGUAGGGGAGACUGGAAUUCCUGGUGUAGCGGUGAAAUGCGCAGAUAUCAGGAGGAACACCGGUGGCGAAGGCGGGUCUCUGGGCCGUUACUGACGCUGAGGAGCGAAAGCGUGGGGAGCGAACAGG